rnacentral:rRNA from 1 species
GUGUCAGCCGCCGCGGUAAUACGGGGGGGGCAAGCGUUGUUCGGAAUUACUGGGCGUAAAGGGCUCGUAGGUGGUCAACUAAGUCAUACGUGAAAUCCCUCGGCUUAACCGGGGAACUGCGCCUGAUACUGGUUGACUUGAGUUUGGGAGAGGGACGCGGAAUUCCAGGUGUAGCGGUGAAAUGCGUAGAUAUCUGGAGGAACACCGGUGGCGAAGGCGGCGUCCUGGACCAAUACUGACACUGAGGAGCGAAAGCCAGGGGAGCAAACGGGAUUAGAAACCCCUGUAGUCC